CUGAGACUAAAUAUCAGGCGAGCAGGGAGACCAGGCUUCCCUGACUUGGCUUCCCCAUUGGCCUCCGUGCUUGUGGGCUGACUGCGGGAGCCCAGGUUUGGCAAGGUGGGUUCUGGACCCUAAGCGGGAGGGCGCGGGGCUGGCUCCCCCAUCUCCUGUUGCUGCAUUCUCUUCCAGCAGAGCAGUGCCCAGGAUGGUGGCUGAGGGUAAAGCUGACAGAACUGGAGGUGGAGGUGAGGGGAGCGUGCCCCAGUGGGGUGGAAAUAAUGUCUGUUCUUCUGCCAUGUUUCCUCCUAAACUGUGGUCUCAGCGAGGCUCAUUGACACUCACCGGGGUUUCGACAUUCUCCCUGGCUAGGGCCUGUUCUGGAAAUAGACCAAGGGGGAGAUGGAGCCCCUGGCCGUGGGACAUCCAAUCUGAU
rnacentral:lncRNA from 1 species